rnacentral:lncRNA from 1 species
AAGCCCAAAUAUCCUCGAAAGAGCGUUCCCAGGAGAAACAAGCUCGACCACUCUGCUAUCAAGUUCCCACUGACCACAGAGUCUGCCAUGAAGAAGAUAGAAGACAACAACACACUUGUAUUCACUGUGGAUGUUAAAGCCAACAAGUACCAGAGCAAACAGGCUGUGACAAAGCUCUAUGGCAUGGAUGUGGCCAAGGUCAGCACCCUGAUUCGGCCGGAUGGAGAGAAGAAGGCAUAUGUUCCACUGGCUCCU